rfam:Schistosoma mattheei strain Denwood, Zambia genome assembly, scaffold: SMTD_scaffold0002855
AUCCAGUUGACGAGUCCCAAAUAGGACGAAACCUAUGUCUUGGUU